UUGGUUGUCUCUCCAUCUUGGUUUCUCCUUAGAAACAGCUCCAUUCUUCAGCCAUGAAGAUCUUCACCAUCCUUUCAAGUUUUCUGUUCUUGAUGUUGAUGGUUGCUCCAGCAUUCACUCGUCAGCCAAGGACUUUUGCUGAAUGUGAUCGUGCUGGUGCUGUGUGCAGGUUUCUCCGUUGCCCCAGAAACUUCAGAGCUAUUGGGAAGUGUGACAAGCGUGGGGCUGUGUGCUGCAAACGUGUGCGACGAGUUGGCAACUGAUGAUGGAUUUCCACGGCUUGACUAUCCAUUGAUCUAAAGUGCUUUGCUUACACUGCCAGUCUUCUUCCGGAAUUGCUACAUGCUUGAGCUUUUAACACAAGCAGUUUGAUCUAUGCUGAAUUGUCUUUCUCUUCAUGCCAAUAAAAAUCUAUGCAUUUGA